UACGGGGGGGGCAAGCGUUGUUCGGAAUUACUGGGCGUAAAGGGCUCGUAGGCGGCCAACUAAGUCAGACGUGAAAUCCCCAGGCUCAACUUGGGAACUGCGUCUGAUACUGGAUGGCUUGAAUCCGGGAGAGGGAUGCAGAAUUCCAGGUGUAGCGGUGAAAUGCGUAGAUAUCUGGAGGAAUACCGGUGGCGAAGGCGGCAUCCUGGACCGGCAUUGACGCUGAUGAGCGAAAGCUAGGGGAGCAAACGGG
rnacentral:rRNA from 1 species